CAUGAUACAGGACCCUUCUCUGAAGAGGCCUCUGGAUCUUGGUAAAGAGGAAGCUGGCCUAUACAAACUGUCUUGGGUGCCAUUUUCCCCCUCUUCCUCUCGUGGUUCUUCUUUUACUUCUGUGUGUGUUUUGUCUGAUUUUUGUAAUGAUGACAAUGUGUCUGACAGCAAAAUUGUUACCUUGCCUCCAAUUGUAAAUAAUUCCAUUUGUAAUAAUGAUGUUACCACUGAUAUGA
rnacentral:lncRNA from 1 species